rnacentral:rRNA from 1 species
GACGAACGCUGGCGGCGUGCUUAACACAUGCAAGUCGAACGGAAAUGCCCUGCUUGCAGGGUACUCGAGUGGCGAACGGGUGAGUAACACGUUGGUGAUCUGCCCUGCACUUCGGGAUAAGCCUGGGAAACUGGGUCUAAUACCGGAUAGGAGCCAUUUUUAGUUUGAUGGUUGGAAAGUUUUUUCGGUUUAGGAUGAGCUCGCGUCCUAUCAGCUUGUUGGUGGGGUUAUGGCCUACCAAGGCGGCGACGGGGAGCCGGCCUGAGAGGGUGGACGGCCACAGUGGGACUGAGAGACGGACCAGACUCCUACGGGAGGGAGCAGUGGGGAAUAUUGAACAAUGGGAGCAAGACUGAUGCAGAGACGGCGCGUGGGGGAUGACGGCCUUCGGGUUGUAAACUCCUUUCGCUAGGGACGAAGCUUUUUGUGACGGUACCUAGAUAAGAAGCACCGGCUAACUACGUG